UGGCGCACGGGUGCGUAACACGUAACUAACCUACCCAGCACUGGGGGAUAGCCCGCCGAAAGGCGGAUUAAUACCGCAUAAGACUAUAGAGCGGCAUCGCUUCGUAGUUAAAGAUUUAUUGGUGUUGGAUGGGGUUGCGGGUCAUUAGCUAGUUGGUUGGGUAACGGCUGACCAAGGCGACGAUGACUAGGGGAGCUGAGAGGCUGGUCCCCCACACGGGCACUGAGAUACGGGCCCGG
rnacentral:rRNA from 1 species